GGGGCCGCCAUGGUUUCGACGGGGGUUGCAAAGCGGAUGAGGGCAUGCCGGGAUCUCAGUCACCCCGUAAAACGCUGAAUCGUAAUAGUCGCAAACGACGAAACUUACGCUCUGGCUGCUUAACCAGCCGGACGCUGCACCGAUCUUCUGAUGGGUCGGGCGGGGUAAAACCCGCAGCAGCGUCAUUUCACAUCAGAUCGCUCCCGGCCGGGUGACUUGGCUGGGGGUUAAAUCCAAGGUCACUCGCCUGUUGCAAGCCUGCCGGUCGGCGUGCACCAGGUUAAAACCCAGUUGACCAGGCUAAGCAUGUAGAACUCUUCGUGGAGGACUUUCGGACGCGGGUUCGACUCCCGCCGGCUCCACCA
rnacentral:tmRNA from 1 species